CGUUUCCAAUUACCGUUGACGCCUCUGUUGCUACGGCAACCUGAUCGCUUCCGCUUUCCUCAGAGUGGCAGACUACAUAUACAUUUACAUUUCGGGCAUUUAGCGGACGCUUUUUUGCUUAUCCUAACUUACAGUCAAGCCAUGAUAAAGCCUGGGCCACAGGCGCACUGGGCAGAACACUCAGUCACUCCAGGAACAAGCUGAUGGACUCAGUAGAUGUUCAGUGACGUGUCAGGGAGCACGUGUGGUAAUGUCACCGGAGGGAUGUUUGCUGAAAGAGUGAGAAUAGGAACAUGAUCACUAGUUUCGUGGUGGAACAGUGUCAGCAGCACCAUGUUGGUCCUGAGUUGAAGUAUUUCAAGUGGAGUCCGUCACAGCCACAGGACAGUGACUGCAACCUUUGAUGAACUGAGACCUACUUAGCAGCUUGUAUUAAAAAAAGAGGUUAUUUCAAACUGAGAGUUUUGUCUGGUUGGGGGCUCGUUUGUACGAUGGUCUGGGUGAUAGUGCAGCAUCUCCGUUAAAACACUUGGGAGUCCUCUGUUCCAUGUUGAUACUUCUUCUUGUCAUGUUGGUGAGGUUUUUUUUUUUCGAUACAAAAGCAAAGGUUUUU